CCAAAAUUAAAACGAACACUGCGGCAUCAAUGAGAGGCUUCUUCAUGCGGAGGAACCAAGCGCACCAGUUGAGAAGAAAGACUCGGACCUGAAAGAAAGAAAUAAGAAAGACAAAGAUUUAGCUGGAGGCAAGAAGUGAACUUACCCAUUUAGGCAUUUUUCCUCCGUGGGGGUCAUGGUGGUGGAAUUGCAGAACCAGAACAGUUACCACCACCGACAAUCCCACAAUCAUCAUGGUGCUAGCAAAAUACUGAGCUGAAGAAGA